GACGAACGCUGGCGGCGUGCUUAACACAUGCAAGUCGAACGGGUCUGCCCUGUUUUUUGCGGGGUGGGUCAGUGGCGAACGGGUGAGUAACACGUGAGUAACCUGCCCCUCACUUCUGGAUAACCGCUUGAAAGGGUGGCUAAUACGGGGUGUUCUGGCUGUGCCGCAUGGUGUGGCUGGGAAAGAUUCACUUUUGUGGUGUUUUGGUGGGGGAUGGGCUCGCGGCCUAUCAGCUUGUUGGUGGGGUGAUGGCCUGCCAAGGCUUUGACGGGUAGCCGGCCUGAGAGGGUGGGCGGUCACACUGGGACUGAGAUACGGCCCAGACUCCUGCGGGAGGCAGCAGUGGGGGGUAUUGCACAAGGGGCGGAAGCCUGAUGCAGCGACGUCGCGUGAGGGAUGGAGGCCUGCGGGUUGUGAACCUCUUUCGCCGGUGAAGAAGGUCCUGCUCUUUGUGGUGGGGUUGACGGUAGCCGGGUUAUGAAGCGCCGGCUAACUACGUG
rnacentral:rRNA from 1 species